rnacentral:rRNA from 1 species
CACGAGGGUCUCACUGUCUUAAGGAAAUGUCCAGUGAAAUUGAAUUUGUAGUGAAGAUGCUACAUCCAAAUUGUUAGACAAGAAGUCCCCAUGGAACUUUACUGGAAACUUAUGUGGCUUAAAUUAAUUUAUUUCUUACAAAUAAAUAGUUUUUAAAUGUGGUGUUAACCUCUCGGAUUAACGAGGGUUAGAAAAGCUCACUCUUUUAUUUUAAGAAAGCCAACUCAAAAAUUUAUGUCUUUGGGAUUGGAUAAGUGGGACAGUUUGGUUGGGGCGACCGCCUUUAAAAAAGUAACGAAGGCGGGCUUAAGAUAUAUUUUAGUUAUGUCUGACUGCCAAGGGGGAAUCCUGAGCAGGCACUUACUUUUUAGGUGGGUUUAAGUGACCCGUUAAUUUAGGGUGAAAUAUUAACGAUAAGCA